GACGGGGCCGCACAAGCGGUGGAGCAUGUGCUUUAAUUCGACGCAACGCGAAGAACCUUACCAGGGCUUGACAUCCCCUGACCGCGUAUGAAAGUACGUUUUCACCCUCGGGUGACAGGGAGACAGGUGGUGCAUGGUUGUCGUCAGCUCGUGUCGUGAGAUGUUGGGUUAAGUCCCGCAACGAGCGCAACCCCUACGUUUAGUUGCUAACGCGUGAAGGCGAGCACUCUAGACGAACUGCCGUUGACAAAACGGAGGAAGGUGGGAUGACGUCAAAUCAUCAUGCCCCUUAUGUUCUGGGCUACACACGUGCUACAAUGGCCGGUACAGACGGACGCAAAGCCGCGAGGUGGAGCAAAUCCCAAAAAGCCGGUCUCAGUUCGGAUUGCAGGCUGCAAUUCGCCUGCAUGAAGUCGGAAUCGCUAGUAAUCGCAGGUCAGCAUACUGCGGUGAAUACGUUCCCGGGCCUU
rnacentral:rRNA from 1 species